rnacentral:rRNA from 1 species
AUUGAACGCUGGCGGCAGGCUUAACACAUGCAAGUCGAGCGGGGGAAGGUAGCUUGCUACCGGACCUAGCGGCGGACGGGUGAGUAAUGCUUAGGAAUCCGCCUAUUAGUGGGGGACAACAUCUCGAAAGGGAUGCUAAUACCGCAUACGUCCUACGGGAGAAAGCAGGGGAUCUUCGGACCUUGCGCUAAUAGAUGAGCCUAAGUCGGAUUAGCUAGUUGGUGGGGUAAAGGCCUACCAAGGCGACGAUCUGUAGCGGGUCUGAGAGGAUGAUCCGCCACACUGGACUGAGACACGGCCCAGACUCCUACGGGAGGCAGCAGUGGGGAAUAUUGGACAAUGGGGGGAACCCUGAUCCAGCCAUGCCGCGUGUGUGAAGAAGGCCUUAUGGUUGUAAAGCACUUUAAGCGAGGAGGAGGCUACUCUAGUUAAUACCUAGGGAUAGUGGACGUUACUCGCAGAAUAAGCACCGGCUAACUCUGUGCCAGCAGCCGCGGUAA